rnacentral:rRNA from 1 species
AUUGAACGCUGGCGGCAGGCUUAACACAUGCAAGUCGAGCGGGGUGAUGGUGCUUGCACUAUCACUUAGCGGCGGACGGGUGAGUAAUGCUUAGGAAUCUGCCUAUUAGUGGGGGACAACAUCUCGAAAGGGAUGCUAAUACCGCAUACGUCCUACGGGAGAAAGCAGGGGAUCACUUGUGACCUUGCGCUAAUAGAUGAGCCUAAGUCGGAUUAGCUAGUUGGUGGGGUAAAGGCCUACCAAGGCGACGAUCUGUAGCGGGUCUGAGAGGAUGAUCCGCCACACUGGGACUGAGACACGGCCCAGACUCCUACGGGAGGCAGCAGUGGGGAAUAUUGGACAAUGGGGGGAACCCUGAUCUAGCCAUGCCGCGUGUGUGAAGAAGGCCUUACGGUUGUAAAGCACUUUAAGCGAGGAGGAGGCUCUUUUGGUUAAUACCCAAGAUGAGUGGACGUUACUCGCAGAAUAAGCACCGGCUAACUCUGUGCCAGCCGCCGCGGUAA